UUUAUUUUUUUUAUUUUGUUAUUUGCAGGGUACUAUCGUACAUGUCCGGUCAAUGCUGAAUGGGCGGAAAAUUUUAAAGUAUUUUGACCGAUGGAGUGACUAUUCAACUAGCAAAUUUUCAAGUUGAUUUCGGUAAAUCUAUUUAAUAUUUUGAAUUACAAAUUUUAGCUUUGAUUAAUAUAUUUUGAGACUACUCGUCCACUAGACGGGCCUGAACACUAGUUUUGAGAAUAAAUGAAAAAAAGCAAAGGUCCAGGGAGUAAAUCGACAAUAAAAAGAAGUCAUAUAUCAUAGCUAAUUAAGAGAGUUCAAUCCGCCAACUACAUCACCAAAAAAACUUCUAGGAAAAACCAAUAGAGGGAAAAGAGGGAGGCCAAAAAUUAAGAUUCUUAAGUCGUCUAAGUAUCGUCCGUCUAUGGGUUUCAACAAGAAAGAUAUCUGGUCCGUCAAUAUUUUAAGAUGGGAUAUGUAUGAUGCUUCAUGAAGGAGAUAUUGAGGAAAAUUCAUGUUCAGACUGCAAAUGAAUCAAAAUCUACUAUUCUAGUGAGUGCAUUAAGACUUUUUAGCCAAAAAUUGAAGUAUAACUCAAAGUUAAAUGAGGUCAGCUGUAAAAGAUUUGAACAUUCGCCAAGUACUCUUACCUUGGAUCCUGGCCGAGGCUAGUCUGAGUUGUAAAUUCUCCAAUUUUGAUUUGGUUAUGUAAGCAAAUUCCAACUAAUAAACUUCUCCUUU